AGUGGUUGCUUUUUAUUUACAGAGAAGUCUUUUAGUCUGCUUGAGUCGUGGUAUGGCAUGGAGAGAUUUUAAAAAUUUUUUUUUAGUAUUGAUGGACCAACGAAAAUUGUUGUUGGCCAACGAGAUGGACCAAAGGAGAGAUGAUGGCACAUGGUGAGGAGGUUGGAAGAAUGUGAAGAAUGGAUAGGGUGAUAUGGAGUUCAGCCUGAUGGAGUUACAUACAAUAUGGUAUAUUUAAGAUGUAAAAUGGUGUGUGUAUGUGUAUGGAGUAGAGUUGUUUUCAAUAACAUGGUCUUCUUUUGUUUGGUUAUAGCGAGGCAAAUUAAUUUGAUGUGUAAUCGAGUGGACUCUAUAUAAUAGUGGUUGUGUGGUCGUACACAUAUCAA